CUGAGUACGGCGGAACACGUGAAAUUCCGUCGGAAUCCGGGAGGACCAUCUCCCAAGGCUAAAUACUCCCUAGUGACCGAUAGUGAACCAGUACCGUGAGGGAAAGGUGAAAAGCACCCCGGAAGGGGAGUGAAACAGUUCCUGAAACCGUGUGCCUACAAGUAGUUAGAGCCCGUUAAUGGGUGAUAGCGUGCCUUUUGUAGAAUGAACCGGCGAGUUACGAUUUGUUGCAAGGUUAAGCGGAAAAAGCGGAGCCGUAGCGAAAGCGAGUCUGAAUAGGGCGCAUAAGUAACAGGUCGUAGACCCGAAACCAGGUGAUCUACCCAUGUCCAGGAUGAAGGUAAGGUAAUACUUACUGGAGGUCCGAACCCACGCACGUUGAAAAGUGCGGGGAUGAGGUGUGGGUAGCGGAGAAAUUCCAAUCGAACUUGGAGAUAGCUGGUUCUCUCCGAAAUAGCUUUAGGGCUAGCCUCGAGGUAAAGAGUCAUGGAGGUAG
rnacentral:rRNA from 1 species